rnacentral:rRNA from 1 species
AAUGGGGGAAACCCUGAUCUAGCCAUGCCGCGUGAGUGACGAAGGCCCUAGGGUCGUAAAGCUCUUUCAACUGUGAAGAUAAUGACGGUAGCAGUAGAAGAAACCCCGGCUAACUCCGUGCCAGCAGCCGCGGUAAUACGGAGGGGGUUAGCGUUGUUCGGAAUUACUGGGCGUAAAGCGCGCGUAGGCGGACUAUUAAGUCGAGGGUGAAAUCCCGGGGCUCAACCCCGGAACUGCCUUCGAUACUGGUAGUCUUGAGUUCGAGAGAGGUGAGUGGAAUUCCGAGUGUAGAGGUGAAAUUCGUAGAUAUUCGGAGGAACACCAGUGGCGAAGGCGGCUCACUGGCUCGAUACUGACGCUGAGGUGCGAAAGUGUGGGGAGCAAACAGGGUU